rnacentral:rRNA from 1 species
UACGGGGGGGGCAAGCGUUGUUCGGAAUUACUGGGCGUAAAGGGCUCGUAGGCGGCCAACUAAGUCGGGUGUGAAAGCCCUCGGCUCAACCGAGGAAGUGCAUUCGAAACCGCAUGGCUAGAGUAUCGGAGAGGAUAGCGGAAUUCACGGUGUAGCAGUGAAAUGCGUAGAUAUCGUGAGGAACACCAGAGGCGAAGGCGGCUACCUGGACAAUUGCUGACGCUCAGGCACGAAAGCGUGGGGAGCAAAAGGG